UAGCCUUUGAGCACAAGGGCUUGAUACUAAAAAGCGACGAAUUUUCGCAGCAAUUUGCUGCCCUGGAAAAACAUGUCGUAAUCAAGACAGCCUUUAGCCAACACUAAACCGCGGUGACUUGUUUAUAGCAAACAAGAUGAAAAGGCGAGCCGACCUCCUUGAAAGACCUCGAGGCACCGUCUUUGUUGAUAUAUCCGAACGUUCCAGUUUCCACUGAUAAGUUAAUCCAUCCCAAAAAGGCUCUUCGGUACAAAUAGGUAAUCAUCAGAGAUUCGAGACUGGAGUAUAAUCCCUAGUUCGCCGCCUACAACAGUUAACGCUAUGUCAUCAAAGCAUUGUGUUGGUUAUUGUAAGCUGGUUCGCGGCCCCGAUCUCCAUGUAUCAUAUACCUGGAAUCUCUAUUGAUAUACGCGACCUCCCGACAAGAAAAAAACGGAGAAAGAGCAAACAAACUGAUGGUGGCAGCGUGAAAAUUCAGAGCACAAAAAUUAAAGUGGAUGUGACGCUUUUCUAUUUUAAUUCACUGUUUCGAGACAUUUCGGCUUAUUCAGUACACAAAGCAACACUAAUAAUCUUAGACAAAUUAUAUAAUUCCAAAUAGUCUCCGUCACGCCGAUUAAUAAACUCCCCUAAAAUUCAAACGCCAUUUUUGUUUCGUUUCUAAUUAAUGUCAACUUUUUGAUAAUAUCUAUGCACUCUUAAAAAUGCAGCGAGAAGAAUAAGUCUUGUGUUUAUUUGCUACAAAGGAAAUGUUUUUUUUCUCCAGUAGUGUAAUUUUAGCUGCAAACUUAUCAGACUCCAUGAAUACAAAAAGCUGUGCCGCUAAAAGCUUUUAAGCGCGAUCUCCAAAUAUGUUGCAUUGAGAGGAGAUCUAUACGCUAUUAAAAAAUCAAGUCAGUCCUUGCGUCCGUGUGCUUAAUUGAGUCGGUACCGUUUGAACUCCGGCGUUGCAUCCAAUUUGAGCCAAUUUUACUUAAGAUAAACGUAAUUGAGCCUUCUUCUCACCUGUACGGCAAGAAAAAUAUGGAAAUAACAGAUCUUGACGCUAGCGGGUCUCGCGAGCCACAAAACACCAAAAGCCCCGUAAAGAACUCAAAUAUUCUUCACUUAGCUUAUAAUUAUGUACUUUGUGUAUUAUUUCGCCCAUCCGUCGGCUACUCGUGAUCUUCCGUAAGGACGCUUUUUGCCGGCCGAUAGACGAAGUGUCUGCGGGAAAAAGUCGGCGCUUUUCAACAAAGUUUUUCUCCUGAUAAGAAAUCACCCAAGAACCACCUACGCAAAAACAUUAUUUAUAUGAACAUAUAUAUGCACACGCAAAAAGAAAAAAAGAAAACGCAAUGAUUUGGACAAUGAAUUUAAACUCGUAAGAAAAGUAUAAUAAAAAGUAUGAUGUUUUUCAAAGAAAUAAACAAAGUAACCUUGGACUGAAUAGAGCUCAGGUGGGGUGUAUCGAACAAAAUGAACCUCUAAAUCAACAAUGUUUGUGUGCACACGAGAAUAAUAAUAAACCUUUGAGCCGUCUUGCGGCCAUUCUUGUUUGGGGUUUAUGAAACCACCAUUUGUCGUAGACUUUAGUUGCAACCCAAAACCACUGAACUUCUAAUUGUGUUAGUAAACUUGCGCCAGUGAUCUGCCAAACACUCGAUCUACAACGUGCUUUGCUCUUUUUGUCACACAUGACAUGGAUGCACUGCAAUUUACAAACGAGAUAUUUGAAAAGUUUUGGAGGCAAAGCCCAAACCUGGCUUUUUAAAGUUUCUGGUUGAUAAGGAGGGGUUCCCUGGGAACGCCUUUCGAUUUGACCUGUUUGACGUUACGUCAUGUCUGAUUAUAUAGUUCUAUAGCUCACAAUAGCCAACGACUCUGUGGAAGAAAAAGAGACUUUUCCUAAAUCAUUGUGUAUCUUUUUACUACGAUGAUGCGAAUGUGUGGCAAAAAGAUUCAACGGAUGCCAUUGCCCCAGGCGGGAGGGCAUUGCCAGAAAAAUAACUCCGCAAAGGGGCAGUUCUAGGGUCGAUCUUCAAUAUCUUUAUGGGUAAUCUCGCUUUGUUUUACUCUGCAAACACUUAUCUGCCGUACAAUCGCUAGAGAGAUUCUUAUGCCCACUGAGGCGAUCUUUACUCAAGUAAACAAGCUAUGUGCAGGAUGUUAUUUCACCAAGUACGCAUCACGCGAGCUCGAGAGAGGCCAGACGCCUUCUGUGAGCUUACUAUAGCUAACAUUUGCGUGAAAUGUUCCAGUUUCUAUAAGGGUCGAUUCAGAAACAUGAAACUGUGGUUUAGCCUUCUUCACUUCGGUACCUUUGAGCUGCCGUGCCAGCCGCUUGCAUUUAAACAAAAAGCCUACAGGCCGCAAACCUAAUUGCACUGUUUCUAUGGCUCUUCCCAAUUACAAGACUCUCGGGCUUCGGUCGGUACACGACAAAGGCAAUUAGGCCGAGCCGUGGUAAUGGCCACACGGCCCUCUUCUAAUAGGGAAAAGCGGGGAGGCGAAGCCCUGGAUAACAAUACACGGCAUUUACACCGAUAACCUGCAAACUUUUUUCUUAGUAAAAAUAAUAUUAAAACUUUGCUCUUAAUAGUAGCGAGUUGGCCAGUGCAUUUGUGUAUGUUUCGGUAAAGUUACCCUCUGUGUCGGGGAUGGUUCGUAUAAAAGACGUUAAUUCUUUAAGUCAAGAGCCUAACUAGGCCGAUAGAACAAUCAUAUAUACGGGCUUGUACGUUAAUUAGGAGCUAAGCCGCUAGGGUCCCUCUGGAUUAGUUUGCUCUUACUGAUCAUAGUAUUGCCGACAUAAUGGGGUUUACAUUUUGCCAAUGGUUCUUUUCAAUUGAGUCUAUUGACCGGUCCAGCCGACAAGCCGCUUUCGCAGUAAUCAUGCAAUCACUCUAAAAGGACCCUUGCUUUGUAUCUGGCUUAAACACACUGUUCUAGUUUGUUGGACAACAGGUUGAUUAUGACAACACCGCGGUGCCAGGGUAAUAUUUACAACGCGGCAAAUCUUGGUAAAAAAAAGACGACGACCUGCCCACGAAACCUUCACGAUUUUCAAGAGAACGUUGACUAAGACCAUUUUGGAGUAAUUUCUUUUCCCCCGUAGAAAUUUAGCCGCGUUACCACUCAACAUUUUUGCAUAUUCUUCGUACUUGAUGUGACACGAGUCGGUUAUUUUUACGAAAAAGGAGCAUCUAUCCAAAAUAAACGCUUCGCGUUACAAAUGUUAUGAUUUUGAAAAGGAAAACAUUAUAAUAUAAGAUUGCUUGUACAGCUAGAAAAAUAAACGCGAAAAUGUCAUAUAGAGCUAAG